AUUGAACGCUGGCGGCAUGCCUUACACAUGCAAGUCGAACGGCAGCACGGGAGCAAUCCUGGUGGCGAGUGGCGAACGGGUGAGUAAUAUAUCGGAACGUGCCCAGUCGUGGGGAUAACGUAGCGAAAGCUACGCUAAUACCGCAUACGAUCUAUGGAUGAAAGCAGGGGAUCGCAAGACCUCGCGCGAUUGGAGCGGCCGAUAUCAGAUUAGGUAGUUGGUGAGGUAAAGGCUCACCAAGCCGACGAUCUGUAGCUGGUCUGAGAGGACGACCAGCCACACUGGGACUGAGACACGGCCCAGACUCCUACGGGAGGCAGCAGUGGGGAAUUUUGGACAAUGGGCGCAAGCCUGAUCCAGCAAUGCCGCGUGCAGGAUGAAGGCC
rnacentral:rRNA from 1 species